GGAGGCUUAGGGGAUAUAUCUGCCUGCUUGAAAGCACUCUUAAACUUUCUAUGGAAAGGUAAUUUAUAUUAUGGCGAUAACUUCGAACACAACCUUCAGGCUUUCAUUGAGAGCAUAGAUUCUAUAGCAACGAAAUAACAUAUUUUAGCAUCUUUGGAGCCUGGAACUGUGUGCAGCAUUCAAGGUGAGGCUACCACAAGGCUGAAUGUAAGACCAGAUGACGCAUGCUUCUCAUCUGACCUCACAGUUCGUGUCACCCAGGAAUCAGCUGCAGUCUUUUUAAACAGAGCUGAGCCAGCAGAUGCCUUCUGGGCAUCAGAAAAUCCCUGCAGCCUCUUUCGGAUGUUCACCAAGCUCAGCUGGCCUGGUAACCUGUGAGGGCAGUGUGAAUGAGGUCUCCUCAGCACCCGCUGUGAAUGCAUUCUUCUGGAGUCACCCUAUGCUUAGAGAGACAAUGAGGGGUUUUCUCUCCCUCAGAGAUUUCCUAGGAAGGCUGCUUUCUCGGUUAGAAUUAGAGGUCUUGGAUCUCUCUUAGUGAACUUGCAUAUAUGGGGUAUAUAGUGUUGUUUUUUAUUUUCCUGAGGAGUCUGGCUUUGAAUAUAUGUAUGAACAUAUAGCCGUGCACCUUCUUGAAAUGUCCUUGCAGUGUCUUACUGUACUGCUGUCAUUAAACACUUCCAGGAAGCUGGGGGAAGAAAGCUCAUUUCCUUGAGCAGAUCCCUUGAUGACUGAGCUUUAGGCUGGGUAUGGAGCAGGAUUGGUUUGAAGGAAGGAAUGGCAAUGUUGGCCAGGAACACAGAUGGUUGUGUGGGAUUCAUCAGUAGCUGGAUCAGGUGGCACAAAUCUGUUCUCUGAACUUGGUUACCAUUUCAUUGGCUGGUUAAUGCAAAAUUCAGGAAGAAGCCCUUGUGAAAGGGAAUGGAUCACAAGUAUUAUUUUUUUUCAAUCCUUUCUUAAAUAGAAAAUAUUUGUUUUACUUUACAGUUAUUCAGCUUUGAUGGGAAAACCAUGAUCAACAAGGACUUCUGUUGUUACAUUUAACCAGGAAUGAUUAGGAUUAGAGAGAGAUUUGCAUCACAGCAGUGACAGGCAAGCGCACCAGCACUGACUGCUGUAUGAAAAGGAGUUAUCAGAGCCAGUAACUAUCGGAAGGAGGUAGCAUCAACUGAAUUUUCUUUAGGGGUUGUUAUAAAGCAAAUUAAUAGCAACUGAAUUCUGAAGAGUGCAGUUUCUGUUGAACGAGCGUGGCUCAGUGGACCUGUAAUCCAGUUUCUGCAAGACUGUAUAGGUGCGUAUGAACAAGGGACUGUGGCAAACCUCUCUCAGGUUUGCCUCUAUGCUUAGACUGACUCCAAGUACCUGGAAAUUCAAAAUAUAAAAUAUUGCAAAGCAAAGCUCCCUGUUGCAGUUGCCUUUGCUCUGGGCUCUUUGGCUGUUGGAUCCUUCGCUGAGCCGUUCCCAAGCUGCCCCUACAGUUCAUGUGCUGGUGAGGAAACAUCCCCAAACUUCCCCUUUGCAGAUGCUGAGCAUGUCUCCCCACUUGUUGUUGUAGCUCUUACUGUUGCUGCAGCCUGCUGGAAGCAGACUAUCCUGGUGCCUGGCAGGGUAGGUGCACCUAGGGGAAGGUGGCUGAAGAAGUCAAACAAGGCUUUGGCCCCUACUCUGUUACCAUAUCUGUCCUGACAAGUAUUUCCUUUUUUUUUUUUUUUGAAAUAACUCUCUAAGAUGUUAUGGUAGCAUCCUGGUUAGUGUUUAAUGUGGCCACAGGUUUCUUCUAGCAUUAUUCUGGGUACUCCUAGGCAGUUCUGGGUUCUCCCUUCAUGUGCUGUUUACGCUCAUAUCCCAGCCAUGCUAACUGCUGUUAUCUAGAUCAGGAGGGCACAUCUAUGACAAGGAACCACGUGCUUUUUUGUGUUUCAUAUGCUCAGGAUGAAGACUUGGUGAUUUAAUUACCCACGUACCAGGGAGCAGACAGAACUGUGAGCAGAGCAAUAAAAGUAGGUGAGAAAGAGAGAAGAACAAGACCUUUGUCUCAGCAGUGGCGAGAGUUUUAGAUAGCUUUUUUUUUUUAACCAUGCUAUGCCCUUGGGCACAAGUCAUCUGUGUCUUGCAACUUUAUAUAUAACUAUCUACAUUUACAGAGUCUAGCUUUUCUUGCAACUUAA